rnacentral:rRNA from 1 species
GAUGAACGCUGGCGGCGUGCCUAAUACAUGCAAGUCGAGCGAACAGAUAAGGAGCUUGCUCCUUUGACGUUAGCGGCGGACGGGUGAGUAACACGUGGGUAACCUACCUAUAAGACUGGGAUAACUUCGGGAAACCGGAGCUAAUACCGGAUAAUAUUUCGAACCGCAUGGUUCGAUAGUGAAAGAUGGUUUUGCUAUCACUUAUAGAUGGACCCGCGCCGUAUUAGCUAGUUGGUAAGGUAACGGCUUACCAAGGCGACGAUACGUAGCCGACCUGAGAGGGUGAUCGGCCACACUGGAACUGAGACACGGUCCAGACUCCUACGGGAGGCAGCAGUAGGGAAUCUUCCGCAAUGGGCGAAAGCCUGACGGAGCAACGCCGCGUGAGGGAUGAAGGUCUUCGGAUCGUAAAACUCUGUUAUUAGGGAAGAACAUACGUGUAAGUAACUGUGCACGUCUUGACGGUACCUAAUCAGAAAGCCACGGCUAACUACGUG